CACGUAGGGCGCAAGCGUUGUCCGGAAUUAUUGGGCGUAAAGAGCUCGUAGGCGGUCUGUUACGUCUGCUGUGAAAACCCAGGGCUUAACCCUGGGCUUGCAGUGGAUACGGGCAGACUAGAGGCAGGUAGGGGAGAAUGGAAUUCCCGGUGUAGCGGUGAAAUGCGCAGAUAUCGGGAGGAACACCGGUGGCGAAGGCGGUUCUCUGGGCUGACCUGACGCUGAGGAGCGAAAGCGUGGGGAGCGAACAGG
rnacentral:rRNA from 1 species